rnacentral:rRNA from 1 species
ACGGGAGGCAGCAGUGGGGAAUAUUGGGCAAUGGGCGAAAGCCUGACCCAGCAACGCCGCGUGAGGGAAGAAGGUUUUCGGAUUGUAAACCUCUGUCCUUGGUGACGAAGGAAGUGACGGUAGCCAAGGAGGAAGCCCCGGCUAACUACGUGCCAGCAGCCGCGGUAAUACGUAGGGGGCAAGCGUUAUCCGGAUUUACUGGGUGUAAAGGGAGCGCAGGCGGUAACGCAAGCCAGAGGUGAAAACCCGGGGCUCAACCCCGAGGAUUGCCUUUGGAACUGUGGAACUGGAGUGCUGGAGGGGCAGGCGGAAUUCCUGGUGUAGCGGUGAAAUGCGUAGAUAUCAGGAGGAACACCGGUGGCGAAGGCGGCCUGCUGGACAGUAACUGACGCUGAGGCUCGAAAGCGUGGGGAGCAAACAGGAUUAGAUACCCUGGUA